AGCAGUGUAGCAUAGUGGUUAAGGAGCAUGACUUGUAACUGCAAGGUUGCUGGUUCAAUCCCUGCCUGGGCUG